rnacentral:rRNA from 1 species
AGUGAACGCUGGCGGUAGGCCUAACACAUGCAAGUCGAACGGCUGAACGGAACGUGCUCCUUGAUUCAGGUGCGGACGGGUGGGCAGUUCCGGGGAACCUGCCUGUUAACUGUUUAUAAGGGCCUGACGCGGGCACUAUUACGCCAAUCGUCCAUAGGGCGUACGGGUGGGAUCUUCGGACCUCACGCUAUCGCGCGAGCCUAGGUCGGAUUAGCUAGUUGGGGGGUUAAAGGCCUACCAAGGCGACGAUCCGUAGCUGGUCUGAGAGGAUGAUCAGUCACACUGGAACUGAGACACGGUCCAGACUCCUACGGGAGGCAGCAGUGGGGAAUAUUGGACAAUGGGCGAAAGCCUGAUCCAGCCAUACCGCGUGGGUGAAGAAGGUCUUCGGAUUGUAAAGCCCUUUUAGUUGGGAAGAAGGGCAGUAAGUUAAUACCCUGCUGUUUUGACGUUACCCAAAGAAUAAGCACCGGCUAACUUCGUG